rnacentral:SRP_RNA from 1 species
GCCGGGCGCAGUGGCGCUUGCCUUUGGUCCCAGCUACUCGGGAGGGUGACGUGGGAGGAUCGCUUGAGCCCAGGAGUUCUGGCUGUAGUGCGCUAUGCCGAUCAGGUGUCCACACUAAGUUCAGCAUCAAUAUGGUGACCUCCCAGGAGCGGGGGACCACCAAGUUGCCUAAGGAGGGGUGAACUGGCCCAGGUCGGAAACAGAGCAGGUCAAAGCUCCCGUGCUAAUCAGUAGUGGGUUCGCGCCUGUGAAUAGCCACUGCACUCCAGCCUGGGCAACAUAGCGAGACCCUGUCUCU